UUCUUAUUAGCUCAAUGGUAGAGCUGAAUACUUCUAAUAUUUAGAUCUGGGUUCGAAUCCCAGAUAAGA
rnacentral:tRNA from 1 species